CCUACGGGUGGCUGCAGUGGGGAAUAUUGGGCAAUGGGCGCAAGCCUGACCCAGCAACGCCGCGUGAAGGAAGAAGGCUUUCGGGUUGUAAACUUCUUUUCUGAGGGACGAAGAAAGUGACGGUACCUCCGGAAUAAGCCACGGCUAACUACGUGCCAGCAUCCGCGGUAAUAAGUAGGUGGCAAGCGUGAUCCGGAUUUAUUGGGUGUAAAGGGCGUGUAGGCGGGAAAGCAAGUCAGAUGUGAAAACUCAAGGCUGAAACCUGAGCCUGCAUUUGAAACUGUUUUUCUUGAGUGCUGGAGAGGCAAUCGGAAUUCCGUGUGUAGCGGUGAAAUGCGUAGAUAUACGGAGGAACACCAGUGGCGAAGGCGGAUUGCUGGACAGUAACUGACGCUGAGGCGCGACAGCGUGGGGAGCAAACAGGAUUAGAUACCCGUGUAGUC
rnacentral:rRNA from 1 species